rnacentral:rRNA from 1 species
UAAUUAAGCGGAGGAAAAGAAACUAACUAGGAUUCCCUCAGUAACGGCGAGUGAAGCGGGACUAGCUCAGGAUGUGAAUCUGCGCUUUUAUGGCGCCGAAUUGUGGUCUGUAGACUUUGACAUUAUCUGCCGGGCCAAGUUCCUUGGAAAAGGACAGCUGAGAGGGUGAGACUCCCGUCCGCCUGGUGGAGUGAGUCAUUUGUCAACGAGUCGAGUUGUUUGGGAUUGCAGCUCUAAUUUGGUGGUAAAUUCCAUCUAAAGCUAAAUAUUGGUGGGAGACCGAUAGCGUACAAGUACCGUGAGGGAAAGAUGCAAAGAACUUUGAAAAGAGAGUUAAAGAGUACCUGAAACUGCUGAAACGGAAGCGAAGGAAACCAGUGUUUGUUGGUUCAUAUUUCCCCGGCCACUUGUGGUUUGGGCGCUGUGAGCUUGCGUGAGUUUGGGUUGGUUGAAUCCUUUGGAAGAGCGCAGUCAGAGUUGAUGUCUGUUGCUAGCACUGGAUUUGACUGAUGCAGACGAAAUGGUUUUCUUUACCCCG